GCACUAUCAGCUAGUUGGUGAGGUAAUGGCUCACCAAGGCUAUGACGGUUAGGAGGCUCGAGAGGGUAUUCUCCCACAUUGGCACUGAGACACUGGCCAAACUCCUACGGGAGGCUGCAGUCGAGAAUCUUCGUCAAUGCACGCAAGUGUGAACGAGCGACGCCGCGUGAGCGAUGACGCCCUUCGGGGUGUAAAGCUCUUUUAUUGGGGACAAACUUUGAUGGUACCCAGUGAAUAAGAGGUUGCUAACUCUGUGCCAGCAGCAGCGGUAAUACAGAGACCUCAAGCGUUAUCCGGAUUUAUUGGGCGUAAAGAGUCUGUAGGUUGAAUAAAUAGUCAGAAGUCAAAUUUUAGGGCUUAACCUUAAAACUGCAUUUGAAACGUUUGUUCUAGAGGACGGUAGGGGCAAGUAGAACUUAUAGUGUAGCAGUAAAAUGCGUUGAUAUUAUAAGGAAUACCAAAAGCGAAGGCAUCUUGCUGGACCGUUCCUGACACUGAGAGACGAAAGCGUGGGUAGCGAAUGGGAUUAGAUACCCCAGUAGUCCACGCUGUAAACGAUGGAUAUUAGGCAUUAGGAGUGUCGACCCUUUUAGUGCCGAAGCUAACGCGUUAAAUAUCCCGCCUGGGAAGUACGGCCGCAA
rnacentral:rRNA from 1 species